rnacentral:rRNA from 1 species
CCUACGGGUGGCAGCAGUGAGGAAUAUUGGUCAAUGGACGAGAGUCUGAACCAGCGAAGUAGCGUGAAGGAUGACUGCCCUAUGGGUUGUAAACUUCUUUUAUAUGGGAAUAAAAUGUUCCACGUGUGUGAUUUUGUAUGUACCAUAUGAAUAAAGAUCGGCUAACGCUGUGCCAGCAGCCGCGGUAAUACGGAGUAACCGAGCGUUAUCCGGUUUUAGUGGGUUUAAAGGGAGAGUAGGUGGAUUGUUAAGUCAGUUGUGAAAGUUUGCGGCUCAACCGUAAAAGUGCAGUUGAAACGGGCAGUUUUGAGUACAGUAGAGGUGGGCGGAAUUCGUGGUGUAGCGGUGAUAUGCUUAGAUAUCACGAAGAACUCCGAUUGCGAAGGCAGUUCACUGGACUGCAACUGACACUGAGGCUCGAAAGUGUGGGUAUCAAACAGGAUUAGAUACCCCAGUAGUC